CUCUAUUAAAGGUCACUGAAGUAUAGAGGGUGAAUUCUGCCCAAUGGUUGUAUAGUGAAACUAAGGACUAACGUCUAAAGCGAAACCCAACUGAAUGGCCGCGGUAACUCUGACCGUGAUAAUGUAGCACAAUAAAUAGCCAAUUAAUUGUUGGCGGGUAUGAAUGGAACCACGAGGGUCUUACUGUCUCAAGAGGAAAGCCGAUGAAAUUAUAGUUGUAGUGAAGAUACUACAUAAACAUUGUAAGACGAAAAGACCCUAUCGAGCUUUACUGGAUACCGAUAGCGUUAACUUAAAAUGAUCGAUACUAAGUAUCCUAAUUUUGAGUUAAUAAUUUUUGUUGGUAGGACAGUUUAGUUGGGGCGACUACCUUUGAAUAAGAAACGAAGGCGAGCUUAUGGUAUACAAAGCUAAUCUCAUUAGCCUGACAGUGAGGGGGACACCCCUAGCUGGCACAAGGACUACGUCCUAUGUGGGCGAUAAUGACCCGAUAUGAUUGUCCAAAAUAAAUAUCGAAAGCGGAUAAAAGCUACCGUAGGGAUAACAGCGUAAUAUUGUCGGAGAGUUCUUAUCGAGGACAGUGUUUGCGACCUCGAUGUUGAAWUGCGGUGCCCUGGUGCUGUAGAAGGUACCUUAGGUUGGUCUGUUCGACCAUG
rnacentral:rRNA from 1 species